GGCGACGGGCGUGGCAGACUUGGGCGGUCGUCCUCUUCUCUUUACGGGCGUGACCUCCACCGACUCAGUGCUGUCAAUCACACAGUCACAUGACGUUAGAAACAAAGUAACAUGAGAUAUGAAGACAGUAACAUGACCAGGGAGUAAAGU